AAGUCUGAAAGUUCAGGUCAAGUCACCAGCAGAUUAAGGCUUAGUCUCUUUGCUUUCAUGGUGCUGUAAAGGCUAGGUCCUCUGGAGAGGAGCAAUGUUAUGUUCUUAUAUGGAAAAAGAGGAGAAGAGCAAGAACUCACUCCUUAAUAAUGGCAUUAAUCCUAACAUCUCCCAAAAGGGCUCACUUCUCAACAUUGUUGCAUUGGGAGUUGAGUUUCCAGCACAUGGUUGUUGGAGGAGAUGCAUUCAAACGACAGCAACUGGUCAAAGAAAGUCAUCUUUCUUUGUCCUGGUCCCACCAGCAACUUCAGACUAGGUUCUUCCAUCUAUAAAAUGACUGGAUUAGCUUAAAUUCUCUUGGUUACUCCAAAUGCUGUUAUUUUAGCAACUAUUUACUUCUAUGUUCAUGACAAGCAUUUAUUUCUUAUGAGAAUAUACAUUAGUAAUCAGUCAGUGAUUUCUGCAUAACUUCAAUAGAAAACGGUCCUUCUAAAAACCAAUGAAAAUUGGUAUGCAUCACACAGAUAAUGGAAAUGGGUCCACUUUGAGCCUAAAAUGUUUAUCAGCAAAGAUCAGCAAGGGAAAUUUAGCUUUGACUCCAAAGAAUACUGUGCUAAUGCUACACUCCUAUUUGUUCAAAUUAAACCCCCUGAAAACAUUUCUUUUGUUCCUUUAAUUUUGGGAACACAAGUCAAUUUGAAGGAAGCCAUGGUAUACUGUCCUUCCCCUUUACAGUCAGAGGGAUCUGCUGGUAUAGAGUGUGCCCAUGUUGAUCAGUUUUGCAACUCAAUGUGCCUUCCUGUUUAUUUCUAGUCAUCUCUUUUCAGUUUUGAAAACAAUGAACUCAGGUUGACCAUGAAGCCAAAGAUCAAAGGCAGUAAUUACCUUUUCAUCGGUUUGUUUUGAGCUAGCAUUCUACCUUACCUGCCUUCUUCUCCCCAAUCCCUUCUGUCUCCCUCAAAAGCAGGUAAUGAAUUUCAAGAAAUAAAUAAAGCCUGAUGCAUUCAACAACCAAGAACUGAACACAGCUCCAUGCCAGUCCCAGAAGUCAACAUGCUUUGGAAGGAGGUCCAGAAAAAUACAUUUCUGAUUAUCAGAAAAAUUUGAGACAUUAAAGUAUCCAAUUUAGACAACUGAGUGUAUGUCCUCUGAUCGCCAUGGGAAACUUUGCUGCAGGCUACUGAAUAUGGAGGGGAUGGCUCCUCGUUGCUUUCAGACACUCCUGAGGAAAUAUUAUAAAAUCAUUACCAUAUAAAGAGGCAAUCAAAGAGUAUGGAAGCCAAAAGAUUUCCUCGGAGGUUACACACUUCCUCUUCCAAUCCCCUAGUUCCUUGGCGGAAACUUUCAGCCUGUGAUGGGAAGAGAAGGUUGCAGGCCUUGAGAAUGUCAUUAAGGAGAUGAUGUGGGGCUCCUUGGCAUCUGGCUUUCCAUUUUGUUGCCCCUUCUGCCCAAGUUCGUCAUUCAUGUGUGCCGGAACCAUUCAAGUGCUGCACGCUGACCCUGGAAAACUUCAUCCUUAGGGCAAGUAACACACCAACUGACAUUGACCGGCAAGCAGCCAGCUGUAGCCCAACCUGCCCUUGGAGAGACAGCAUUGAAACAAACUUACAGGAUUCAUAACAAGAGCUUCCUCCACAUAGUUUCUCCUGCUAUUUUCCUAAAAAUCUACAACCACCACCAUUCUUCCCCCACCCUUGCCCGCAAUUUCGGCUUAUACUGCUUAUUAAGAACUGAUGAAAAAUCUGAAUACAGUAAAAAUUGAAUCCAGACACACAGGACAAUCUCUGCAAAUUCUUUCCCCUCCUUUUGUCCUGCUCUUGUUUUAGACUGUUUCGUAAAUGUAUUUCUUAAAUGUACUUUGUAAAUCUUUGAAAACAAUUAACAUUGUCUGAAAUACUUCAGAGUGAAUAAAACAUGCAGUAUCAUACCAUGAUCUUGGCUAGUUUUGUGUAUGAUAUGAAAAGCCAAG